AUAGAAUAAAAAAUGACAAGAGACUUUUUUCCUGAAAUCCCUGCAAAAGAAGAAAUUAUACCUCUUUCUAUAAGAUUUAAUGAAAAUUGAUAAAUCAUUUAAUAUAAUUGCUAUGCUUAGUGUGUGACUCGUUAUUUUUUUUUUCUUUUUUUUAAGAAAAAAACUUAGUAAUUAUAGAAAAUUAACUAAUAACCAACCUAUUGCUUCGUAUUGUCGAGAUCCUAACUAAGAAACAGUCACUAUAUGAAUAAAUACCUCUAUCAUAAAUGAGUAGAUGUGUCAUAUAGUUGUAGCAACUGCAAUUUUUUCUCUAAAAAAGAAAAGGGAUUCUAGGUUGUGAAGCAAAACUAAAGGGAUGUGGAUAAAGGGAGGGAUGAUAGAAAGAAGGAAGAGGAAA